CCGGGUUCCACCGCUGCCUGGUGCCCACUCUGCGUCCGCAGACCGUCGGAGGCACUCGUGCUCUGGAUCUGGCUCACAGCGACCCGACUCUCCUGCUCUCCCCAGUAGCCCAGUACUCGUCUCUCCUCAGUACCCCAACUCUCCCACUCUCCCCAGUACCCCAACCCUCCCACUCUCCCCAGUACCCCCACUCUCCCACUCUCCCCAGUACCCCCAAUCUCCCACUCUCCCCAGUACCCCAACCCUCCCACUCUCCCCAGUACCCCAGUGCAUAAAGAGGAGGCGCUCACAAAGCGACAGGUCACAGCCUGCAGGGACACUCGCUGGCCAGCCCACCCACCAUCAUCUCUGCACCGGCCCACUGGGAGACGUCACCCCCGAGCGUCAGGUGGGCAGUUCCCCGGAGCCCCUGGGUCACCCGCCCGUGUGCUCCUGAUACUGGGGUGGGAGCGCUCUGUGACCCCAGCGGGACGGCGUGUCCUGGGACAGUGGCUGGGAAGGUGGACUGUAGGUGGGCAAGGGACAGACAGGCAGCGAGGGCCCGUGUGUGAUGCUCCAGCCCAGCCUGUGCCUCUCGGGGCUAUGGGGUUGUCUCCAGCUCCAGUCAGACAGAGAGGCACCUGCCCACGGGGAGCACCUGGACGCAUGUGUCCUCGGAACGUUCUCACGCGCCGUCAUUCUUGGAUGUGUUUGGAUUGCAGCACGAUGCAGGAGGACCCGGAGACCCUGCUGGCCUUGCAAAGAGCCAAUAUUGUGGCCCAGUACCAUCAGGUGAGGCCCAGAAGGGACCAUAGACACUACACACCCACGAAGGGGGGACUAUACCUGCAAGAGCAGGUGAGGCUCAAGAGGGGAUCAGAGCCAAGGAUGAGCCAGGUCAGCCCAGACAACGACCAUAGUCACCAGGAACAAGUGAGACCCUGGGGAUGGUCCCGGUGUCAGUAGCAACUAAGGGUCCAUCCUGGAUCCUAGUCAUUGGUAGCUGAGGAGCCCAGUCACCAGGUACAGGUGAGGCCCGGGUGGGGACCAGAGUCACCAGGUCCAGAUGAAGACUACAGCUACCAGGUCCAGGUGAGCCCAGGUGGGGACCAGAGUCACCAGGUUCAGGUGAGGCCAAGGUGGGGACCACAGUCGCAGAUCCACAUGAGGCUCAGGUGGAGACCAGAGUCACCUAGGUGAAGCCCAGUUGGGGACUAGAGUCACCAGGUCUGGGUGAGGCCCAAUUGGGGACCAGAGUCACCAGGUCUGGGUGAGGGCCAGGUAGGGAUCAGAGUCACCAGGUCAAGUGAGGCCCAGGUGGGGACCACAGUCACCAGGUCAGGUGAGGCCCAGGUAGGAACCACAGUCACCAGAUGCAGGUGAAGCCCAGUGGGGGACCACAGUCAACGGGUCCAGGUGAGGCCACGGUGGGGAUCACAGUCACCAGUUCCAGGUGAGGUCCAGGUGGGGACCAGAGUCACCAGGUCCCGGUGAGGCCAAGGUGGGGACCAGAGUCACCAGGUUCAGGUGAGGCCAAGGUGGGGACCAGAGUUGCAGAUCCACAUGAGGCCCAGGUGGGGACCAGAGUCACUAGGCCCAGGUGAGGCCCUGUUGGGGACCAGAGUCACCAGGCCCAGGUGAGGCCCAGUUGGGGACCAGUCACCAGGUCUGGGUGAGGCCCAGGUGGGGACCAGAGUCACCAGGUCCGGGUGAGGCCCAGGUGGGGACCAGCGUCACCGGUUCAAGGUGAGGCCCAUGUGGGGACCAUCGUCACCGGGUCCGGUUGAGGGCCAGGUAGGGAUCAGAGUCACCAGGUCAGGUGAGACCCAGGUAGGGAUCAGAGACACCAGGUCCAGCUGAGGCCCAGGUGGGGACCACAGUCACCAGGUCCAGGUGAGGCCCAGGUAGGGAUCAGAGUCACCAGGUCCGGGUGAAGUCCAGUGGGGGACCACAGUCACCGGGUCCA
rnacentral:lncRNA from 12 species